GCCGAAGUGGCGGAAUGGAAGACGCGCCAGGUUCAGGACCUGGUGAGGUAAAACCUCGUAGGGGUUCAAAUCCCCUCUUCGGCA
rnacentral:tRNA from 1 species